UACGUAGGGUGCAAGCGUUGUCCGGAAUUAUUGGGCGUAAAGCGCACGUAGGCGGAUUUGUAAGUCAGGGGUGAAAUCCCGGGGCUCAACCUCGGAACUGCCUUUGAUACUGCAAAUCUCGAGUCCGGAAGAGGUGAGUGGAAUUCCUAGUGUAGAGGUGAAAUUCGUAGAUAUUCGGAAGAACACCAGUGGCGAAGGCGGACAUACUGGAUCAUUACUGACGCUGAGGCUCGAAAGCGUGGGGAGCAAACAGG
rnacentral:rRNA from 1 species